GUGGGGAAUUUUGGACAAUGGGCGCAAGCCUGAUCCAGCAAUGCCGCGUGCAGGAAGAAGGCCUUCGGGUUGUAAACUGCUUUUGUACGGAACGAAAAGGCUCUGGUUAAUACCUGGGGCUCAUGACGGUACCGUAAGAAUAAGCACCGGCUAACUACGUGCCAGCAGCCGCGGUAAUACGUAGGGUGCAAGCGUUAAUCGGAAUUACUGGGCGUAAAGCGUGCGCAGGCGGUUUUGUAAGACAGACGUGAAAUCCCCGGGCUCAACCUGGGAAUGGCGGUUGUGAGUGCAAAGCUGGAGUGCGGCAGAGGGGGAUGGAAUUCCGCGUGUAGCAGUGAAAUGCGUAGAUAUGCGGAGGAACACCGAUGGCGAAGGCAAUCCCCUGGGCCUGCACUGACGCUCAUGCACGAAAGCGUGGGGAGCAAACAGGAUUAGAUACCCGAGUAGUCC
rnacentral:rRNA from 1 species